UUGACGACACCUGAGCUCCGCAGUCUCCACCUUCUCCGGCGAUUUCGGCUGCGACACCACCGAACCCGAUGGUGACCUUCGCCUCUCCUCUGCCCUCGAUGGCUACGUUCAUUACCUCGACCUCUCCUCGGACGUUAUCAAUGGAACACUCCGCUUUGCUGCCAACUACCUUUACCCUCUCUAACCUCCGACGGUCUCCGAUCGGAGCCAACGUCACGGAUUAGGGAUUUGUUCUUCCGGGUUUGGUCUCAUGUCCAUCUCUUCGUAUCGUCGCUUUUAUGAUUAAUGCUCUGCUGAUCCUACCCUACACGACCAAAGGGAGCUCCUGAUGGAACUCCUACUAAUCGUGUGCUCUUCCGUAUCAUUUUGGAACAAAUCACAACGUGUUGUACAACUCGCAGCUCCGUCUGCGGCGGCCAUGGCUAGGGCUAGCCUAGGGUUUGCGAUCCUUCUCAUCUCCUUGAUUCUCUCCACCGUGCGUGUUGGUUCGUGGCAUCCUUCUCCCCUGCUCAUAUGUUAUUCCCUUUUCUCUUGCCUUGCAGAUUCUACUAAAAAUUAGUCAGUUCUCCUCCGUGCAGUCUGGAGCCAUGUUCAUGAAAAGAAAUGACUGUCUCGAUCAAGUUUACUUUGUUGUCGGGAAACGAGCGCUUCUAUGGUCGUUCCCUCCAGGCCACCUCGGGGGAAUGUGCCUGCUUCUUGUAACAGCAUAAUUUCAGAUUAGAUAGUUUCCGAUCUACCAGGAAGGUAUGUUUCUCUGCACGAAUUGAGCACACUUUCAUGCUAAUGUAAGACUGUAUUUUUAUUUUGCUAAUAUAAGAAUUCAGCUCUCCUCAAGUGCAGAUCUACCAGGAAGGUGUGUUUCUCUGCACGAAUUGAGCACACUUUCAUGCUAAUGUAAGACUGUAUUUUUAUUUUGCUAAUAUAAGAAUUCAACUCUCCUCAAGUGCAGAUCUACCAGGAAGGUAUGUUUCUCUGCACGAAUUGAGCAUACUUUCAUGCUAAUGUAAGACUGUGUUUUUAUUUUGCUAAUAUAAGAAUCCAACUCUCCUCAAGUGCAAUGCCUGACAAGCACUGUGACAAUGCAUGCCAAUUGUAAUACACCAAGCAUGUUUUCUCCUACAGUAUUUAUUUGUCCUCUACUAGGAUUGAACUAUGAUUUUCUUCCUGAAGAUUUCAGCUAUGAACUCCUCACCACAAUCAUGUCACUAGUUGCCGCCAUUUUUGAGACAUGGGCCUUGUGGAGGCAGGAGCAUAGAGAGAAAUGGAGGUAAAGGCAUCCUCCACUUUUGUAAUGCACCAAGCCACUGGAUUGUUCUUGUGCAACAAUCAGCAUCCACCAGUUUCUUGGGUUUGCCUUUCUUUUCUUUGGCUAAUUGGAUGGAAAUUGAAAAUUUAGUGUUGGUACCUUUUUGGACAACAAAGACCUAAACAGUUUCGGUGUUUGCUUUCUAUUUGGACUGCACAAUUUCAAUAUUGGGAUUAUUGGAUGACAUUAUUUGCCAAAUCCAGGAAUAGCUUGCGAAGAUUUUAUAAGUUAGAAAGCUUCGCUUUGGAUAUCCUAAGAAUGAGACUGAGAUUAUGAAGAUGAUUGUCCCACUCAUGUCAUGUUAUUUGUCUCUCUUGUUUAUAAAACUCUCUGGAGAAUGGCAACCGAAACCUUCUACUGCAAUCCCUGCCCACAAUGCCUGUACAGGUCGAAGCAAUUCCAAUGAUGACUGGCAUCAGAGUCCAUGGCUAUGCCAACAAGAAAUCUAGUUUUUCUGGAUGGCAACUGUUGGCCAUUUUCUACUUAUUUAUCUGAUGGAUUCUACAUGACAAGUUACCAGAAAUUGAGGUGCUAAAGAGCUGGAAGCUGUAGGAUCUACUAUGAUUAAUGGAUUCAUAUUUGUCAUCGUCUAGUUGUUACUGGAAUCUUCAGCCAGUGGCAGUGUAAGAAAAAGAACUUACGGUUUUGUUAUACCAAACAAAUGGUAGAAGAUCUGGGAAAGCAUGCUAAUAAUGGUAAAUGAUGUGAAAGUACGAUUGGCCAUCAUUGAAAGUAAAGCACUUGGGGUCGAGCUGCACAUUGCCAAGUUGGAGAUGAGAGGUCAUUUGAAGAGACGCCAUGGAGGCCUACCACCACUUCCCUCACCCCCGACUGCUUCCACCUCCCGAUGUAACCCCAUGCUGUGAACCACACUGAGGCUACCACUCAAGACAUCAGAGGCCGCGCACCAUUUGAGGCACCACUGUAGUCUCCAUGGUGGAGCAGUCCAGGUGGGUCAUUGCCGACAUCAUGCUCAUGUCCAUCGCCUAUCAGUGGAGAAGGCCAUCUUCGGCUGUCUGCAGAUGGCAGUGCAUAAGGGUAGAUUCUUGAAGGGGCUUGAUCUGUUGAACGCGAUGAAACCGGUUGAUGUCUCUUGUUCAGCAAUUCUUGGUAUCUGCCAGGACACUCGAGAUCUCUAUUGGCAGUAGAAUGAUGGGCCACGCACCUGCAGCAUUGGUUCCGUGCUUACCAGCACAUAAAAAAUUAUUGAUGCUGCUGUUGGUGACAGUGCUAAUAGAGGAGGAUCAUGGUCCACCUUAUCUUAUCAACCCAUAGGAGGCCAAGAAGGUAUGCAAUCUUGGGUCCAUUGCUGCUGUUAAUUGGUUGCCAAUUAGAUCAGAUACUCUAAGAAAGGAGAGGCUGAGGGAGACUUCUAAAACUCUGUUACACAUUCGCCCUACAAAGGAGGCCCUUCCACCUGCAGUUCAACAGCUACCCUGGUGCUCAUUCUGUAUCAUGUAGCUCAAAUCUUUCUCCGGAUUCCACUGGCCACCAUCGGCAACCCUGUUGAUGAGCACAUCAAUCGAGUGACCGCCAUCGCAUUGUCCAUCUCAAUUAUUGGAUCUGAAGCUGCCCCUGACGCGAUGGAUGCAUGCAAUGAACCUUGAAUCCGGUCCGUCUAACAACUCUUCAUGGCAUGUUCUUUUGAUGCCUUCGUUUCUUUGGCAAAGUAUGCAUGCUUGACACUUUAGUCUAAGACCAAGCAGAUAAACGUCGACGUUGGAUGUGGGAAGUGAAAGCCACUCCAAAUCAGUUCAGAUCACCUGCAAUGAUCUGUCCAGCCAAUAGUGUGAUAAUUAUAAUCUUCAGCAUAAAUACGAUGUUUGAGAGUUUCUUUUAGCGGUUUUUCAUGAGAAAAUCACCCAAAAAUGUUAGGUUUUCGCAUUUGAAAAUUGUUGCGCACAUAAAAAAUUUUGAGGUACCAGUAACCUUUUUUGUCAGACUUGGUGUUCUUUUGAAUUAAGGAUAGGGUGUAAAUAACUCCAGGGGAAAUAAGCCAUUAAUAAAAUGCAUGUGUAGACAUACAUAAUUAAGAAAAUAUAGUUGUGAAAGUACGAUUAGGAUCUUGGCCUUCUUCUUAUGUGCUUAU